AUACUUGGGUUUCUAUUCAGAAUGAACAAAUCUUUUGCCUUUUACUGAAGAUUUCCAUGGAGAGAAGCAGUUAUGAGUUGGUAACCAAAUUUUUUGAGGUCUUGCUCAGGCAAAGCU
rnacentral:snRNA from 1 species